CAGUAGCCGCGGUAAUACGGAGGGGGCUAGCGUUGUUCGGAAUUACUGGGCGUAAAGGGCGCGUAGGCGGCCAUUCAAGUUAGAUGUGAAAGCCCUGGGCUCAACCUAGGAAUUGCAUUUGAUACUGUUUGGCUUGAGUUCGGGAGAGGUGAGUGGAAUUCCCAGUGUAGAGGUGAAAUUCGUAGAUAUUGGGAAGAACACCAGUGGCGAAGGCGGCUCACUGGACCGACACUGACGCUGAGGCGCGAAAGCGUGGGGAGCAAACAGGAUUAGAUACCCCGGUAGUCCCUGUCUCUUAUAC
rnacentral:rRNA from 1 species